rnacentral:rRNA from 1 species
GACGAACGCUGGCGGCGGGCCUAAUACAUGCAAGUAGAACGCAGUUGCGAACGGGUGAGUAACGCGUAGGUAACUGCCUCAUAGCGGGGGAUACCUCUUGAAAACGAUAGCUAAUACCGCAUACUGUGCGAUGGACCUGCGUUGUAUUAGCUAGUUGGUGUGGUAAAGGCCCACAAAGGCGACGAUACAUCGCCGACCUGAGAGGGUGAUCGGCCACACUUGGACGUAGUACCGCCCCAUGCGCCGACAGGAGGCAGCAGGAGGGAAUCUUCGGCAAUGGACGGAAGUCUGACCGAGCAACGCCGCGUGAUUUAAGAUGGUUUUCGGAUCGUAAAGCUCUGUUGUUAGAGAAGCGGUAACUAAACAGAAAGGGACGGCUAACUACGUGCCAGCAGCCGCGGUAAUAC